AGAUUCUCUUUGAAAAGCCUGAUUUAUCACAACGAAGAACAUUUAGGAGAAAUUCCCAGUUUAAGAUAAAAUUUUUGAAUUUUCAAUGGAGGAUGAGCUUCAGUUUAGAAUAUGGAAAAGAGAAAAUGCAAAAAAAGUAAGAAUGAUCUUCUUCUUUCCUUCAAAAAAGAAAUGACUGUUACUUAUGAGAUGAUAACUCUGUAUGCAGAUCUCAGUCAUAUUGCUCAUGCUACAUGCAAUUCAAG
rnacentral:misc_RNA from 1 species